CUUCUGUAAAGUGCUGCAUUUACAUGAGUUAUGAUACAGAUUCAUAUACAAAUUUCAAAUACUCUGGACUGAAUGAAUGAUGGUUUUGUAUGACCCCUGGUUGCCCUCAUUUGGCUUUCAGCCACUCAGGUUGUGUUUCAAGGCUGCUUUGUCAGUGAACAUUUAUGCCAGACAUUGUUUCAAGAAGAGGAAGGUGAAAGAUAAGAGUGUUUCAUGGGCCCUAUGUUGCCAGUGAUCAAGCUUUUUGUGAAAAAUAAACAGCACAAUGUCUAUUAAGAAGUUCUACGUAGCCCAUGCUUGGAUAGCAGAGUUUGGUGCCGGGUGAAAAGUCAAACCUUACAGCAGGUGCUGCUGCCUGGCACAGAGAGGUGUCCAACAGCUGCAAGCAGUUUGUGUGUGCUGGCUCUGCUAAUUAGCACCUCACUCCUGCAUUUAUCCUGCAGCAAACAGGGCUUGUCUCUUUGUAGCUUGCUCCGACCUCUCUGUGCCAGCCUGCGCUGUGGCUGUAUGAGGACACUGCAGGUCCUAGGUUGCAAUUAGAGACGAAGCACACAUCUUUUCUGAGAGUGGAACAUGUGCCUUCAGGAUCUGGUUGUGAAGAUCUGACGUUUAUUACCUCACUGAUUUCAGCUAAAGCCUAAGGAGAAAAUUGAUUUAGGAUGAAAACAGAUUGUAUUUCCAUACCUCUCUCUCAUCAGGGAAACCUUCCAGAUUCAUAUUAUGGAAAAAUUUUGGUGAGUCUGUUCCCAAAGACCUCCCUGGGGAUGGGCUGCAAUGAAACCACGGGCACACGAUGGCUGGAAAUGAGAAGGGCCACGCAGAUGAUACACCCAGAGCUGGUGAGAGGCACAGGGAGGUGCCCAGGAGCAGGAGGAGGAGCAGCUCUGGAUUCAGAGGUAACCAAGGUGCUGAGUACAAUCCACACUUGCUGCUAAAA
rnacentral:lncRNA from 1 species